rnacentral:rRNA from 1 species
CCUACGGGUGACAGCAGUGGGGAAUAUUGCACAAUGGGGGAAACCCUGAUGCAGCGACGCCGCGUGAGUGAAGAAGUACUUCGUUAUGUAAAGCUCUAUCAGCAGGGAAGAAAAUUACGGUACCUGAGUAAUAAGCCCCGGCUAAAUACGUUCCAGCAGGCGCCGUACUACGUAGGGGGCAAGCGUUAUCCGGAUUUACUGGGUGUAAAGGGAGCGUAGGCGGCACGGCAAGCCUGACGGGAAAGCCCGCGGCCUAACCGCGGGACUGCCUUGGGAACUACCGGGCUGGAGUGCCGGAGAGGUAGGCGGAAUGCCUAGUGUAGCGGUGAAAUGCGUAGAUAUCAGGAGGAACACCAGUGGCGAAGGCGGCCUACUGUACGGUGACUGACGCUGAGGCUCGAAAGCGCGGGGAGCAAACAGGAUUAGAUACCCCAGUAGUC